CGCGUAGGCGGUUUGUUAAGUCGGAUGUGAAAGCCCUGGGCUCAACCUGGGAACUGCAUUCGAUACUGGCCAACUAGAGUGCGAGAGAGGGAGGUAGAAUUCCAUGUGUAGCGGUGAAAUGCGUAGAUAUGUGGAGGAAUACCGGUGGCGAAGGCGGCCUCCUGGCUCGACACUGACGCUGAGGUGCGAAAGCGUGGGGAGCAAACAGGAUUGGAUACCCUGGUAGUCC
rnacentral:rRNA from 1 species